rnacentral:rRNA from 1 species
GAUGAACGCUAGCGGCAGGCUUAACACAUGCAAGUCGAGGGGUAUAGUUCUUCGGAUCUAGAGACCGGCGCACGGGUGCGUAACGCGUAUGCAAUCCACCUUUUGCAGAGGGAUAGCCCAGAGAAAUUUGGAUUAAUACCUCAUGGUAUGUGAGAAUGGCAUCAUUUUCACAUUAAAGUCACAACGGCAAAAGAUGAGCAUGCGUCCCAUUAGCUUGUUGGUAAGGUAACGGCUUACCAAGGCAACGAUGGGUAGGGGUCCUGAGAGGGAGAUCCCCCACACUGGUACUGAGACACGGACCAGACUCCUACGGGAGGCAGCAGUGAGGAAUAUUGGACAAUGGGCGCAAGCCUGAUCCAGCCAUGCCGCGUGCAGGAUGACGGUCCUAUGGAUUGUAAACUGCUUUUGUACAGGAAGAAACACUGGUUCGUGAACCAGCUUGACGGUACUGUAAGAAUAAGGAUCGGCUAACUCCGUGCCAGCCGCCGCGGUAAGAC